AACUCAGUGAAGGUCACAGUGAGAACCAGCCCAAAAUAGUACCAUACAGGUGAGGCUGGAGCCAGAGGCUGUACAAGGAACACAACCUGGGUGUUAGCAGCUCCUGAGAGAAUUAUGGGUGUUAUUAAGUCUCACCAGCUCUCUGUUCCCUCUUUUUUCUUCCCAGACUUCCUGUCAUUUUUAAAUCCAAGAAACCCUCACUAUCUGACUGUAAGGAGAAAUGCUGUCCACAGUGAGGCAGAAUCUGCCACAGGGACCUGAAUCAGACUGCCAGAGCAUCUUGGGACCUGACAGGCUUGGGACACACUUCUGCCCCUUUCAGACAGGAUCAUGGAGGCUGGGUGAUUCUGGGAGUUCUUGUCUCCUGUUUCUUGAUGCCUGCAAAGGUGCCGCUGAUGACAAGCCACACCUUAGAUUCACGUUCAUAUCCUGCACUGCACAAUCUCCCACUGCAAUGUACAGCAGCAUGGCCUUUUGAGCUCAUGGCCAAGAAGAGCAGUCCUGACAUCUCACUUGGAGGUCAAAGAAAAUUAAUGUCUUCAGAAGAAAAUAUUGAGAAGAUACCGACUGCUAUAUUUUUUGAAAGCUACUGAUUGCAUUUAAACGAAUGAAUUGUUUCCUGCUUGGCUUGUUACGGCCUGGCUAUAAAGAGGCC